GUUGUUGCUGCUGCUAGUAGUACUGUUGCCGUUGCAUGUUUCUUUAUUACGAACUAAUAACCGUUUCUUAUCCGAUGCGAGAGCGAGUUUAUAACUUAAAAUAUAAAUAUUAUCUCAACGAGUCGACUAUUAGAUUAGUCCAAUUGUUUUUUAUUCGUUAGAGUUAUUGAUCGUCAAAUAUUCGUAAAAGUUGUAUAAAUAUAAAGUGAAAAUAUUUGUCACGGACGAUCGAAAAUAUAAUUUUCGUAAGGUUUGUAAACACAAUUGUAAUUACAGUAUAUUUAGAAUAAAAUUGUAGUACUUUGUAUUUUGUUAAAUUUUCAAAAUUCUACUAUUCAAAGGAUCUAGCAAUAAGAAUAAGACUUAAUGGGAGAGGUAUUUUCAAGUGACAACUGUGUACACCAAAUAAAGUUGUUGAAAAAGAAAAAAGAAAAA